rnacentral:rRNA from 1 species
GUUGCACGGGUACGGGGAUCAGGGUUCGAUUCCGGAGAGGGAGCCUGAGAAACGGCUACCACAUCCAAGGAAGGCAGCAGGCGCGCAAAUUACCCAAUCCAGACAAUGGGAGGUGGCGACCAGAAGUACUGGGUGGUAGACAAUGUCUACUAAUCCCGGAAUGAGCAUAAAGUAAAAAUUUAGUCGAGUAGCAACUGGAGGGCAAGUCUGGUGCCAGCAGCCGCGGUAAUUCCAGCUCCAGUAGCCUGUCGUAAAGUUGUUGCGUUUAAAACGCUCGUAGUUGGAUCAUAUGGUAAGAGUUGGUGAUCCCAUGGUGGACGGCGUUCAAACCAUCGUAAUUUCUAGUGAGUAGUUAGUUCUACUUCACUUUAGUUGUGAUUGGUGUCGUUACCUUAGGACUUUAGCCAGCUCUUGCUACUUGCAUGUAAGGAUGGCGAUUGGCCUUUAGUGCGUUGGUCGCUAUGUCUUACAGAGUGUGCCUUGAAUAAAUCAGAGUGCUCAAAGCAGGCGUGUGCCUGAAUGAUACAGCAUGGAACGAACAAACGUGUAUAGUGUAGAGUUGGUAAUUCUCGCAGUUGGUAAUUCUACAUAUCACCAACCACCUGUACGGAUGUUGGUUUCCGUAAAGGGGUGAUGAUUAAAACGAGCGGUUGGGGGUGUUGGUAUUUGGCCGCGAGAGGUGAAAUUCUUAGACCGGCCAAGGACUAACAAAAGCGAAGGCAUUCACCAAGACCGUUUCGAUUGAUCAAGAACGAUAGAGAGAGGUUCGAAGACGAUCAGAUACCGUCCUAGUUCUCUCUGUAAACUAUGCCAACCCGGGAUCAGUUUAGAGCUAUUUAACACGCUCCAGGUUGGUCCCCCCGAGAAAC